AUUGAACGCUGGCGGCAUGCUUUACACAUGCAAGUCGAACGGUAACAGGCCGCAAGGUGCUGACGAGUGGCGAACGGGUGAGUAAUGCAUCGGAACGUGCCCAGUCGUGGGGGAUAACGCAGCGAAAGCUGCGCUAAUACCGCAUACGAUCUAUGGAUGAAAGCGGGGGACCGUAAGGCCUCGCGCGAUUGGAGCGGCCGAUGUCAGAUUAGGUAGUUGGUGGGGUAAAGGCUCACCAAGCCAACGAUCGGUAGCUGGUCUGAGAGGACGACCAGCCACACUGGGACGGAGACACGGCCCAGACUCGUACGGGAGGCAGCAGUGGGGAAUUUUGGACAAUGGGCGCAAGCCUGAUACAGCAAGGCCGCGUGCAGGAAGAAGGCCUUCGGGUUGUAAACUGCUUUUGUACGGAACGAAACGGCUCUGGUUAAUACCUGGGGCUAAUGACGGUACCGUAAGAAUAAGCACCGGCUAACUACGUGCCAGCCGCCGCAGUAACAC
rnacentral:rRNA from 1 species